CAGGGAAGAGACUUUGCUGCUCCAGGGAUUCAUGCAAUGUGGUUCUUAAAAAAAGGAAAACCUUAAUUUGGAUCAUGAAACGUUUACAUUUUAUUCUGAUUUCACAUUACUGAUAUUUCAUUAAUAGGCUGUCUUUCUGUAGUCUGACUACAGCCCGGUCUCUUGGCUGUGUUUUAAGCACAUCAGAGUCAUCUGAGGAGACUUCAAAUAGACACUGUCUGAGCAUCACCUGGAUCUUGCUGCAGUGGAAUCUUCCAAGUCAGCUGGGUCAGCCAUGGAAGAGUCUACAUUGGUACAUUGCUGGUGUCUGUGUCUAUGUGAGCGGAAUGCUGCAGAAUCUCUUAUGUGGAUGGGAGUUCCCGGGUUAAAGUACAUUCUCAGCAGAACAAAGGGACCAUUGAUAAGAAAGAC
rnacentral:lncRNA from 1 species